rnacentral:tRNA from 1 species
GGGGCUGUAGCUCAGUGGCAGAGCACUUGCUUCACAUGUGUGAGGCACUAGGUUCGAUCCUCAGCCCCA